GGAAUAUUUCUUAUUUUGAAUUUAGUGUAGGGAUAUGAUAUAUAAAUAAUUAAUUAAUGUUUCUGGAAAGUAGAAAAAUUGAAUUUCAAGUAGAGAUUAUAGUGUAAAAGUAUUGUAAAAGAAUGUAUAGGUUCGGGGAGUCAUUUUAUAGAAGUAGUUAGAGUGUGUACCUUUUGUAUCAGGGAUAACUGAUUUAUGUGUUUUAUUAAAUUAAAUCCCGAAAUGGUAGGAGCUAGAUUUUAGAUAUUUUCUACGUGGAAAAGUAGUAUUUAACUUUGAUUUAGUGAUGAUAUUUUAUUCGACUGCCAUAUAUCUGGUUUUUUCCGAAAAAAGUUUAAUUUUAGGGGGAGUUUUAAUAAAUUUCUUUUUUUAACGCAGGAGGCAUGAGCUUCUUGUGGAAAUUAAUGUUAAGAAGUGAAUUAUAUAUGAUUUAGCUUGGCUUAAAAUCGGCUUUGCUUGUAGGACGUUAUAGUUAAGGUUGUAUAAGUUUAUAAUUUUUAUAUUUUUGCAUUAUUUAGGGGGAAGUGAAUUUGAUUGUUUUAAGUUUAGCUAAAAUGGUUAUAUUAGUAGGAUAGAUUAAUUUGUGAUAGAUUUUUAGUUAAAUAAUAGUUAUUUAAUUAGUGAUUUAUUGGUAGUAGACAGGAACUCGGCAAACGCAGCUCUUGCCUGUUUAUCAAAAACAUGUCUGUAUGGUUGUUAAUAUAAAGUCUGGCCUGCCCACUGAAUUGUUUUAAAGGGCCGCGGUAAUUUGACCGUGCGAAGGUAGCAUAAUCAAUAGUCUUUUAAUUGGGGGCUGGAAUGAAUGGUCGGACAAAGAGCAAGCUGUCUUUCUUAUAAUUUUUGAAUUUUACUUUCAAGUGAAAAGGCUUGAAUACUUUAAGGGGACGAUAAGACCCUAUAAAACUUUACAAAAAGAUUGUAUUUUUUAAAUUACAGUUUAAUAUUGAUUAUAGUCUAUUUGUUAUGUUGGGGUGACAAAGAUAUAAUUAAGUAACUGUUGUUAGUAUAAAAUAGUUAUAUUUAGUUUAGUUGAUCCUUUAUUUAAAGAUUAAAAGAUUAAGUUACUUUAGGGAUAACAGCGUAAUUUUCUCUGAGAGUUCUUAUCGACGAGAGUAGUUGCGACCUCGAUGUUGAAUUAAAAUUUCUUUUAAGUGUAGCAGCUUAGUGAGUAGGUCUGUUCGACCUUUAAAAUUUUACAUGAUUUGAGUUCAAACCGGUGUGAGCCAGGUUGGUUUCUAUCUCUUAAUUAAAGUUGGAUCAUUCUAGUACGAAAGGAUUGGAUGGUUAAAAUAUUUUUUAUAGAAGAUGAAUUUUAAUUUUU
rnacentral:rRNA from 1 species